ACGAUAUAGAGAAGAUUAACAGAUUAAUAUGCAAGGAUGACAUGCAUAAAUCUAGAAAUGGUCGCUUGCUUAAAACAAACCGAGUGGCAAAGCAACCCAAAUAGUACAGUAGUUCAGCUCUUAUCCACAAAUGUCUAACGCAGUGACUCUGCCGUGUCUCGGCAUCGUCAGCAUGGCGCGCCGCCCAAAACGGACGGCAAAGACUAAGCAAAUCCCACCGCCGACUAGCGUCGGCUUUGGAAUGAGCAAGAGGAAGGAGCCGCUCUGGCAAUGCGUGGAGGGUUGCGGAGCUUGCUGCAAACUCGACAAGGGUCCCUCUUUCGCUACCCCUGAAGAAAUCUUCACAGACCCUGCCGACGUUGAGCUUUACAGAAGUAUGGUGGGUUCGGAUGGGUGGUGCGUGCACUUUGAGAAAAGCACACGCAAGUGCUCCAUUUACAAUGAGCGUCCAUAUUUUUGUCGCGUGGAGGCAGACGUGUUUGACAAACUGUAUGGGAUUAGCAAGAAGAAAUUCAAUGUGGAAGCUUGCAGGAGUUGCACGGACACCAUCAAGUCUGUUUAUGGUCCCUAUUCCAAGGAACUGGGUAACUACAAUAGCACAGUAAUGAGCUCCAGUUCUAGUUAAACCAUUGUAAUUUCCACUGCUCGAUCAUAUAAGGUGAAGGUGCGAAGGUUUUCAAACGAUCAGUAACCCCUUCAGCAUCAUCAUAGUCGGUAACCUCUUCGGUCGUGCAUUUCACUCCGGGAGGAAGCCUUUAGCGCCAGACAUUUUCAGCAGCUGCAGGCUUAAAUUUGGGACAAGCAAUAGGCUGAUGAUGUUGGAGGUGACAAGCUAAUGUAUUUCACAAAGUGCUUGAUUAAUUCUUCAACAUCUCUGUUAUAUAAUGUUGAAGGCUUGAAGCCUCCGUGGCUGUUUUAUUCUCUGCCAUGCUAACUUGUCAAAAAUCAAGACGCUAAACUAUGGUAAACAAUGAACAACUUAUGGUGGGAUGUCCAGAACUCCAGAUGCAUCAGGUGUGUGCUUGUUUACCCUCUUGUCCUAAUGUUUUCUUUUGACACUCCCCCACAAAUCA